rnacentral:rRNA from 1 species
UACGGGGGGGGCAAGCGUUGUUCGGAAUUACUGGGCGUAAAGGGCUCGUAGGCGGCCAACUAAGUCAGACGUGAAAUCCCUCGGCUUAACCGGGGAACUGCGUCUGAUACUGGAUGGCUUGAGAUUGGGAGAGGGAUGCGGAAUUCCAGGUGUAGCGGUGAAAUGCGUAGAUAUCUGGAGGAACACCGGUGGCGAAGGCGGCAUCCUGGACCAACACUCACGCUGAGGAGCGAAAGCCAGGGGAGCAAACGGG